UACAGGGGUCUCAAGCGUUGUUCGGAUUCAUUGGGCGUAAAGGGUGCGUAGGCGGCGUCGUAAGUCGGGUGUGAAAUUUCGGAGCUUAACUCCGAAACUGCAUUCGAUACUGCGGUGCUUGAGGACUGGAGAGGAGACUGGAAUUUACGGUGUAGCAGUGAAAUGCGUAGAUAUCGUAAGGAAGACCAGUGGCGAAGGCGGGUCUCUGGACAGUUCCUGACGCUGAGGCACGAAGGUCAGGGGAGCAAACGGG
rnacentral:rRNA from 1 species